GCUCCUUCUGCCUGGGCUGCUCCUUGGGGUAAGUGCUUUGUUUUUCCUUUAGUCAGUUGCAGGGUUCUCUAGGCAGGCUGGAGUCUAUAGAUUUCUAGAAUUUUUAAGUGCUUGGAAUUCACUUAAUAGAGAGAUAUUUAGUAGAGGCUGCUGGCUCACUGUUUUUUGGGAUGGUGGCAUGCUCUUCUGUUUUUGAGCUAAAUUUAUUCUCUAGAUGCAUAGACGUACUUCUGUAAUUUUCCAGAGGACUAAAACCAGCUUCAUUUCAUGCUACAUGUUUCUUGGCAGGGUAGAUGCAGCAUUGCCAAGAGACUGAGCAGCGAUGUAUCAGAGUUACCUCUUUCAUCUGCAAAGGGUGCUUUGUGCAGUCGUGGACAGGGAAGGGAUAUCCUCCUGUGAUGGAGCUCUGAGGGAAGGUGUUGUGGAUGAUGGUGGCCGCUCCUUUCAAGCUUGG